rnacentral:lncRNA from 1 species
GUAAUUCUGAUGAAUAUUUUAACAGUGUUUAUGUAAUUUUGGAGGUAAAGUUACUUUGAAUGAGUUGAAUUAUAAAAAUUAAUAUUUUCAAUCUUCUACUCUGAAAAGAAUAGAAUGAGCUGACAGAACUGGAGUUCUGUCUUCCCAAGAGAUGAGGGAGCACUGAACCUAGCAAGAUAGAACAGUGUCCUAAGAAGGAAAUGCAUCAUCAUGGACUGGCAAUUAAGGAUAAGAGAUAAAUGUGCAUAUAUAUUCUCUUUUUUUAAAAUUAUGAGUUUCAUUUGAAAGUCUCUGAAAAUUAUUUUAUAACAUGAUAUGCCUUUGUUAUAUUGAAUCCUAGCGCUAUAAUAGGUAGAAUUUUGUUGUUGUAGUUGUUGUUCUGGAAAUCGAAUCCAGAGGCACUCUACCACUGAGAUAGAUUCCUAGCAUUGUUAUUAUUAUGAUCUCUCUUUUUUAAAAAUUUUGGAGACAGGAUCUUAUUAAGUUGCUGAGGCUGGCAUCAAACCUGCCAUCCUUCCUGCCUCAGUCUCCUGAAUAGCUGAGAUUUCAGGGGUGUACCACUGUGCCCAGCUAGAAUUUUAAAAAUUAAUAUUUCCAACUUUCUACUGGAAGUUGUUAUGUUUAAAAACAAUUAUUUUUGUUUCUUUUGAAGUCCAGUCAGUGUAGAUGAAGAACUAUUUGUUAAUCUUAAGUGUAAAAAAAAAUUAUGAUGAAAAAAUGUAUAUUUAGAAUUAGCCAGCUAAAUGUAGUUUAUCUGAUCAGUUUUGUUGGCAAUAUUCAACAUAUCAAGACCCAGUCAGACAUAUGUAUUCCUGUCUCCAACAAGCCUGAUCCAGGGUAUGGACAUCAGUCACAUAAAUGUCAGAAAGCUUCUCCACAGCCAAAUUGAUUUGGUGCUGUUGGCUUUGAUGUCCACAGUUAACUCAAGCAUGUGGUCCUCUUCUAUUUCCUUCGUGGUGAUUCAGUGAUUGCGUGCAGUGAAUGAUGGCACAGUGGUCAAGCUUGUUCCUCUCUAGGAGCACUCUGGUAGUGAUAUUUGGACUUAAUCUAGAGCACUGUGCCUUGGACUGCCUGGAGGAUGGUCAAGAGCACAGAGUUUGUGAUGUGAGCAUGGCUUUCAGUACUAACUUCUUGGCCUUCAAAGUCUUUGCUGUAGCUUUGGAAUGGUCAGGAGUGUCUUUCUUCACUUUCAGCAACAUUUCAGUGAAAAUGUUUCUCAAGUUUCUUAAUGAAUAGUUAAAAAUGGCAAGAAUUUAAGACCUAAGACUCAAAUUUUUUUAACCACUCACUGGAAAGAAGUUAUUCCAGUUACUUAGAUGAACUUCAAUGUGGAAAAUAAUCAUAUCCACACUGAAAUGUUUAACUGAAUUAAGUGAUGGGACUCUGAAUGACAGCAAUUCACAUGUGUAUUUUAUGUCAAUAAAGCAUCUCACACAAACACAAAUGAUUCAUUCGAUGUGCUCUACUAAAAAAUAACUCUUCCAUAUCCAACCAGUAGUACAGAAAGGGAAUUUUUUUUGUAAUCAAUUUCAUCUACAUCCUAUCAUGGUUUUGACUAGACUAUAAGCUAUCUUGGUGCUCAAUAUUGAUGUAGAAGUUCCUGUGCUUGGAACAAAAAGGGAGAAGGAUGUGUUUAAAGGAAUUCCUGGAUCAGGUGUAGGAAAGGCUGGUAACAAAUACAUCUGCUUUCAUCCAGCUUCAUUUUAUCACAUUUUUGGUCCUGCUGAUUCCAACUGCUAAAAGGCAUAGCAUUUUCAAUUACCUUCUACUUUUGACUUGCUGGUAGUUAUUUUCAUGAUAGUAAUCUUUCUACCUAUCCUUUUAUAAUAGUGUCUUCACAUUCGAAAAAGCAAAGCACACUUGAUAAAAAUCUUCAUAAUGAGAACCUGCCCAAGGAGAACAUUAACUAACAUCAUCAGAGUCUUUGCUAGCUUGGCUGAUGGAAAAAUCUGUAAUAUUUAGCACAGAAAUACUCCCCUGAUAUUUAUUUGAUAGAAAUUUCCCAGAAUUAGUG